UAUUGUUUGCUUUCAUGUUCCCAUUGCCAUCUUCCUCUCACCUAAUCUUUUCUAACCCUUAAUCUUCAAGUGGACUAGACUCCCUUCAUAGAUGUCAAAGUGCUCAAUAUCUAAUAUGUGGUGGCCAACAACUCAAGUACUCCUAGAGUAUAGCUCCGCUGGUUGAAUAUCCAGCAACUGCCAGUUUAAUUCAACAUACAAAGCUAGGAGUGCUCAAGCAUUGGAGUACACACCACUUGUAGAUAAGCUUUUGAUAAGAAACGAAGCCGAACAAACAGCAUAAAUGCCUGAAAGAAGAUGCGUGCUAAUGCCCAGCUUCAGCUUUCGAAUCUGGAGCUGACAUAGCGGACAUAAUUAAUUGCAAACUCAGGCAAAAUCAAGAUAUCAAUGGUAUUCAGAUUGGCUCAAAUGUUUUGGAAGCACAAACAGUAGCCGGUCAUAACUUUGCUGACCAAAUCGAUCCUGUUGUUCAUAACUUCGCUAUCACUAGUAUAAAUAAGCAAACACGGUUUCAGAAUCAAACAAACUUCUUGUGCACCAUCAUGUGCAAUGACAUGAAAACAACUUUAGAGGCUUCAUGUUCUACUCUGCAUCUUUUUUGGUUGAGCUAAAAUCAGGCCCACACAAAUAUUCCCAUCAAUAGUCACUAGAGACAAAAAUGUGGAAGACCUUGUGUUUCAACCGUAGGGAGAUGAAUGUUUCUCUUUUGAGGAUAAGUAUGAAAUAUGCUUUUAUAAAGCCAACCCGUUUCUAA